rnacentral:rRNA from 1 species
UACGUAGGGGGCGAGCGUUGUCCGGAAUUACUGGGCGUAAAGAGCGCGUAGGUGGCUGCCUAAGACCGGUGUGAAAUCUCCGCGCUUACCGUGGAGAGGUCGCUGGUGACUGGGUGGCUUGGGUAUGGCAGAGGUGAGUGGAAUUCCCGGUGGAGCGGUGAAAUGCGUAGAGAUCGGGAGGAACACCAGUGGCGAAGGCGGCUCACUGGGCCAUUACCGACGCUGAGGCGCGAAAGCGUGGGGAGCGAAC